CAACCCAUUUCAUAGAACCUCCGUACCAACGUGCGCUCUGAAUGUUGUGCAAAAGAAAGUUGCCUGCACUUUGAUGAUCCCCCCUGUCAGCACACCUGAACCAAUCUGGCAACCCAAAUAAUGACGUUACACCACUCUUAGCAACGAUUGGUCAACAUAUUUGCAUCUGAGCCUGGCACAGUGUGCAUGUACGAGAGGAGUUUGUAUCAAUAAAGUUGGGGAAAAGAAAAAAAACAAGCACAUUUUGUCACGCUGAUCAAAGCGACAACAAGAGAACUUCAUGCCACAGAAAAAGACGAAGAACUUCAACACCAAUCAAAAGUAUCAAAAAUAUUGGAGGUUGUGCAGCGUCCACAUCCCAAGAUGAUCCUGACUUCACUGAAGAUGUCAUCUCAGAGGCUCCAAGAGAGGCGUGUAUGGAAGAGGAGCAGACUGGAUCCAAAAUUCCACCUACCGGUACCUCGAAUCCAGUUGGUCCAGAUGAAUGACCAACCACAGUCUCUGAUCCAGUAAGAAUGGAUUUGGUGCAGAGAGGUCCUUUUCAGACUGAUAAAGACUCUGACUUUCCAAAAUCCCCUCAUUGAGCUGUUGUGUUCUUUAUGUUGGAUUGUUUUAUCGUUAUUUGAUUUUCUAUUAAGUUGCUGUUUUUAAUAAUUUGGAGUUUUGUGAAUGUCAUUUGUUGAGGACCUAA